CGGCCUAUCAGCUUGUUGGUGAGGUAACGGCUCACCAAGGCUUCGACGGGUAGCCGGCCUGAGAGGGCGACCGGCCACACUGGGACUGAGAUACGGCCCAGACUCCUACGGGAGGCAGCAGUGGGGAAUAUUGCGCAAUGGGCGAAAGCCUGACGCAGCAACGCCGCGUGCGGGAUGACGGCCUUCGGGUUGUAAACCGCCUUCAGCAGGGACGAAGCAACACGUGACGGUACCUGCAGAAGAAGCACCGGCCAACUACGUGCCAGCAGCCGCGGUGAUACGUAGGGUGCGAGCGUUGUCCGGAAUUAUUGGGCGUAAAGAGCUUGUAGGCGGUUUGUCGCGUCGAAAGUGAAAACUCAGGGCUCAACCCUGAGCCUGCUCUCGAUACGGGCAGACUAGAGGAAUGUAGGGGAGAACGGAAUUCUUGGUGGAGCGGUGGAAUGCGCAGAUAUCANGAGGAACACCGGUGGCGAAGGNGGUUCUCUGGACAUUUCCUGACGCUGAGAAGCGAAAG
rnacentral:rRNA from 1 species